UACGAAGGGGGCUAGCGUUGCUCGGAAUGACUGGGCGUAAAGGGCGCGUAGGCGGCUCAUACAGUCAGAUGUGAAAUUCCUGGGCUUAACCUGGGGGCUGCAUUUGAUACGUGUGGGCUUGAGUGGGGAAGAGGGUCGUGGAAUUCCCAGUGUAGAGGUGAAAUUCGUAGAUAUUGGGAAGAACACCGGUGGCGAAGGCGGCGACCUGGUCCUUGACUGACGCUGAGGCGCGAAAGCGUGGGGAGCAAACAGGAUUGAGAAACCCCGAGGUAG
rnacentral:rRNA from 1 species